GACAGAGGGUGCAAACGUUGUUCGGAAUUACUGGGCGUAAAGCGCGUGUAGGCGGCUAUGUAAGUCGGGCGUGAAAUCCCACGGCUCAACCGUGGAAGUGCACCCGAAACUGCGUAGCUAGAGUCCUGGAGAGGAAGGUGGAAUGCUUGGUGUAGAGGUGAAAUUCGUAGAUAUCAAGCGGAACACCGGUGGCGAAGGCGGCCUUCUGGACAGUGACUGACGCUGAGACGCGAAAGCGUGGGGGAGCAAACAGG
rnacentral:rRNA from 1 species